GCUUGCGCUAUGGAAAAUCGUUACUGUGGGAUACGCCGCAGAUAAACGUUGCGCUCCCGGGGCCGACGGCUGCGGCGAAGGGGGCGACCGCGGCGGGCCGACCAUUCGCAGAGCGGCGGAAGGACCGACGACACCCCAGCGGCUCGACAAGUAAAUGAAACUGCGUCAGAAGAAGAAGAUCCGCUGGGAAAUUUCCGCCAAGGCGGCCGGUACGUAGCGACAUGGCGUCAACUUGAGCACGCAACUCUGCGUCACAACUUGACUCGACAGUGCGAUGUAAACAAAAGGCGUGAAGGCAAAGCCCCGAAUAGGAUGCUGCGCAAGAGAUGGACAGUGCGUACUCGCGCAGUGGAACAGGAGCGUCCGUAUUACGCAGUUCACAAUGGCACAACACCUAACUAGUCGACACCCUGCUCCCCCCCCCCCCCCCCCCCCCCCCCCACACACACACACACACACACUUUUAACCAUCCAAUUUAAAGCGCCCACUUCAAUUCUUUUGAUUCAGUGUGUUUUUUAUUUGAUGGAUAAAGUGGCUCGACGAGAGUGGUGACGCAACUCGCGUCGGGUUUCGGAUGACAACAACAUUUUGCUGCGUCACAAGCUGCCAGGAGGUCAACAAUAAUGUCUUCUUUUGAGUGCGCACUUGAUAUGAUGAAAGUGGUUGCGGCGUGGGAGCGCAGGGGGGCGCUGCCGAGUAGCCCUCGAUCGGCUCUCCUUCGAGAAGGAUGCUGGCAUUCGAUAGCAUAGGAGAAAUAAACAGACGGAGACCGAACAAAUGCAAGAUGCUUCCAUUCGGAACCUAUGAGUCAGUGGAUGCUUAUGAUGGGGUGGUGAAUCAUACUUUGGGAGCCACCGGGCACACAAUCCUAUGGGUGAUUUUACACAAAAUACCAUUCAAAUCUAAAAAGUAAGGAACGUUUUGUCGGAAAUCGAGGCGCCGCAACACGUAUGGCGUAUCGCGACUUCCUCACGACCGCAGUGCUGCUGUUUAUAAAACAAUAAAAGCAAUUCAAAACGGCCCCAAAUGGCUCCUCUAGGACACUGGACAAACCUGGCUCACAAUAAGACGGCAGGAACUGACUGAACGGCACACAAAAAAAGGGGAAACAAGAUGGCCGCACAGAGAGCAACGUGGCCGACACCGACUCAACUGUUGCGCAGUGUGCGUGUUUCGACAACUCGUUUUCAUGAGGGGCCUACCGCAGGCCACUGGUUUUGCUGAGUUUUAGAAUUUCAGUUGCCACUGAAUGGCAUUGCAACGUUGUAGAUGCCAAAUGCACGAGCUUUCACGAAAAAAAAGCCCAAACAUUUUUGGGUUUUAAGUAAAAGCUCUCUAGCAGUCACCUUGUGCCAGUCUAUAGUGUUUCACAUUACAGUAAUACUUAAGUAUACAGCUUAAUCUGUUCUGACCACGAUUGUAACUGAAAUACAUACAGGGUUGCAAUAUUUACCGUUGCAGCGCACCAGUAAAUGCGCUGUGCUCAACUGCUUGACGUGUGACAAAGAGUCACAAACGAAUUUUUUCAUUCCCGUUCGCCAGCGUUGCUCGGUGUGCUGCGGACCUAAGAUAAAGUGAUAGCGAUAGUUGAUAACAAUGCCACCAAACAUAACUUAACCCAACAUGCGGUAGGAGGCCACACUUUAAUCCAUCCAACAUUGUUUAUGUGCAUCGGUAGGUGCAGCUGUUUUGGUUAGCAACAUGCUCAAAUGGUAGUUAAUAGCGCUUGGACUCACUGUCUAAAUCCCCAUUAGCUAUUUGCAUUGACAGUGACAAAUGACUAGCAAAUCAUUACUCCUUCUACUCUUCCAAAAUAAAGACAUCAUUGUCCAACAAAUGAAAAAGUUCAGUUUGAAAACUACCUAUAGCCCCCUGGUUAUGUCCUGGUCGCAGUCUUUUUUUUUGGGUCACAGAUUUUGCCACACUACCACAAAAAAGACAGUGCACGUUGAUACAUUUUGGCUGGCGCGUAAUGGUAAUAAACGCUUUUCCCUCCGGAAAAAGUAGCCGCUAAAACGCUUUUUUCAAAAUGGCUUACUUUAACGAGGAUCCCUCGCCGCAUCGUGGCCGUGGUCAGUUUUUCGCCGCUCUCGGUGCAAUACGAUGCGUAGAUUUGCGCUGGCUAGCUGGGAGCAUCUGCUUCAACAAGCCAGCAGGUUAGUUUAGCUGCUAGCUAGCAGUAGCUGGCUAGCUCUCAUCAAUCCUCUGCCACAAUGUGUUGAAUGAAUCUUGCGCAACUUUAUCCAAGUCAUCUGUCGGUCACAGUCUGUCAUGAACAUCCAUGCAGCUCCUCGGGCACGGCCAUCGGGCGCCUCGUUCCACGGAGGUUACUAUCUUGGGGGAGACUGCUCCAUGAUCCAGGUGAUCGGCAACAGUUGUUACUGUACAGCUAGAAAUAGCCGCGUGUGCAGUGAGUCAAAAUAGCGGUGGCCGUAAACAGCGGAAAUGCGGCUUUGCAACGCUGCAGUUCUUGUCAAAAUAACAUUUUUUAACUUAAUUUUGAGUCAAAUGCAAAUUUGAAUUCGAAUCACCGCGGAUUUGUUCGUAGCUCUAGUAGUUGAUUUAAUUGAAUGCCUCUGUGCGAAAGAUCUCAUUUAUAAAUUGAGGUCAUUACAGUGACUACCUGGAAAACGGAGUCAUUGAAUGAAUGACUAAUAGUGACGUAACAUCUAAUCGAGGGACGUCGGUAAAUAUUUUCACUCAAGCUGUUUCAAUUAAUCUGCCCUCUCGCCUGUGUGACAAUAGGUCACUCUGACAAAUCUGUUGACACGGAGGCCCUUCCAGCUCAUCCCAUUCAGCCCAGGGAGGUGUGCUUGAUCACCUGCCGCUGACCCGUCCGAGAGUGUUGAGAUUGAAGUGCUUCCUCAAAUCUCCUUUAAGGUAAAAAUGAGAUGCUCAGAAAUGGAUUUGCUUGGGGGGGGGCUGUUACAGGCGAAAGAUAAGUGGACGUGGACCUUACCCCUGAGGGAAAUGUGAUUUGUGGUCAUCCAAGACAAAGACAAAGCUCAUUGCUAGUAAUAGUUAAUGGCUUUUUUUAUAGGACCUGAAUGCUGUGUCAUCUGCGGCCCAAAUGUCCUUUCCGAGGCCAACCAGUGCAACAAGUGACCCACUUCCGCGGAUAAGGAAGCGUGACCUCAAUAGUUGUUUUGCUGCUCUUUGAAGGGAGGGGUGCAGUCUCUUGCGCUAAAUUAACAACCAGCGCCCUCGCUAAGUGUUGUGUCGUCACAUGCGGCUCCCCGGAGGGACGUUGCUGUUGUCGAGCAUGAAAAGUAAAAAAAAAAAAAAAAAACAUUUGCAACAAGCGCAACCUAUUCUGAUGGCUGUUUAAAGCCACCUGCAGCACUCGUGAAAGCUUAAGCGAGCGACCCAAGAUUGUAGAAUUGGAGGCGAGAGAUGCUAAAAUUAAACCGGGGCUGCACUCGACCGUGAUGAUGAUGAUGAUGUAUUAAUAGACAAGUGAGGCGCCGUUUGUUCGUAGGUAUCAAUAGCAGCUAACAGACUUGCCAAAAUGACCGUAAGUGUGCAGAAAGCAUCUCAGCACCUCACUGAACAAUAAUUGGAGAUUAAUUAUUAGUCAAAAUAUGAAAUUCAGCUACUGUGGGUCGAAGUCGAAGAAGAAGAAGAAGACAUGAGGGAAGUUGGUGUUCCAGAGGAGGAAGUCAGGAGAUAGGCUUACAUGGAAAAGGGACAAGCCGAAAGCAAAAGAAGAAGAAGAAGAACCUUAAAGAAUUAAAGAAGCACCAAUCGAUUGUUUUUUUUGUUUUUUUAACGAUAAUACCAAUUUGCACAGACAGCAGAAUUGAAAUUCCACUUGGAGCUAGCUCACAGGAAGACAGAGGCAUUACUCGCGUAGCAGACUGGAAACCAUUUAAGGGUGUAGUACCUUUUGCCUUAAGUGAUCCGGGAUCGGCUCGAGCCCCCGCCGGGACCCAGAACAGGUUUAGCAGUCGAAAAAUGGAUGGAUAAGAGGCAGAGUCUUCAUUCUAUGCUGUUCUGAUAUAUUACACUGUACACCUUUGGCAGGAAGACACACAGGGCACACAGAGGUAAUUAAACUAAAGACUGCAAUUUUCAAAUUAUGAAACAAUUAUUCAUACCCAUUAGUAACCUUUCAUUGCUCAGUGACUCUCCGUACUGUGUUUGUAUGUCUCAAAAAUAUUGGCUGUCUGUUGUCGUACUAGAGCGGCUCCCACUACCGGUGACAAAUUCCUUGUGAAUUCCUUGUUUUCGGCAUACUUUGCAAAUAAAGAGGAUUCUGAUUCUGAUUUUGCGAUUGAAGGUUCACAGUGCCGUAUGCUGGAUUUGGAAGUGACCACCUGGAGAUUUUUUAUGCAUGCCAUUGUUUACCGAAAAAGAAAAAAAAUAUAGCACUCACCACCAUAAUGACAAACAUUAAAAUACAAUAACAUAUUAGGCCUAAGUGUUCAUCCAAAAUGAGGCAGUUUUCUUUUCUAAAAAGUGUACUUAUUACUGUAAGACACUAUAACAGUAUGCACUUUGAACAUUAACACUGCGCUUGAACAUAAGAAAAAAAAAACUACUUAAAUGAUUCAAUUAAAAAGGUUAUAAAAAAUGUGUAAAAGCAAAGACUUCUUAAAGAUAAGAUGUACAUGUAUUGUGUAGGGCUGCACAGUAGGCGACUGGUUAGCACAUCUGCCUCACAGUUCUGAGGAUCAGGGUUCAAAUCCGGCCGUGCCUGCAUGCGUUUUCUCCGGUUUCCUCCCACAUCCCCAAAACACGCGUGGUAGGUUAAUUGAAGACUCUAAAUUACCCGAAGGUGUGAAUGUGAGUGCGACUGGUUGUUUGUUUCUAAGUACCCUCCGAUUGACCGGCGAGCAGGGUGCACCCCGCCUAUCGCCCAGAGUCAGCUGAGAUUUUCCCCUUUCAGUUUGUGCUGUUCGGGGUCGCCACAGCGUGUCACCCUUUUCCACGUAAGCCUAUCUCCUGCAUCCUCCUUUCUGACACCAACUGCCCUCAUGUCUUCCCUCACGACAUCCAUCAACCUUCUCUUUGGUCUUCCUCUAGCUCUCUUGCCUGGCAGCUCCAUACUCAUCAUCCCUCUCCCAAUAUACUCAUUCUCUCUCCUCCGGACGUGACGUUUCUUCACUUCCUUACCACACUCACCAUUGCUCUGGACUGUUGACCCCAAGUAUUUAAAGUCCUCCACCCUUGCUACCUCUUCUCCCUGCAGCCUCACUCUUCCCCCACGACCCCUCUCAUUCAUGUACAUAUAUUGUGUUUUACUUCGGCUAAUCUUCAUUCCUCUGCUUUCCAGUGCAUGCCUCCAUCUUUCUAACUGUUCCUCCACCUGCUCCCUGCUUUCACUGCAUAUCACAAUCUCAUCUGCGAACAUCAUGAUCCACAGGUACUCCAGUCUAACCUCAUCUGUCAGCCUAUCCCUCACCACUGCAAAGAGGAAGGGGCACAGGGCCGAUCCCUGAUGCACUCCCACCUCCACCCUAAACUCCUCUGUCACACCUAACCACUGUAAUAUUCAAACAUACUUCUCUGCCACUCCAGACCUCUGCAUGCAGUAUCACAGUUCCUCUCUGGGUACUCUGUCCUAGGCUUUCUCUAGAUCUACAAAUCAGAAUCAGAAUCAUCUUUAUUUGCCAAGUAUUUUCCAAAAAACACACAAGGAAUUUGUCUCUGGUAGUUGGAGCCGCUCUAGCACGACAACAGACAGUCAAUUUACAGAGAACACUUUUGAGACAUAAAGACAUUGAGAAAAAUAAUUAAAUAAUUAAACAUGUCGCGGGUCAAAUUGACCCGGGAACACAAUUUAUGUUCCUGAUAAAUUAACAUUACAGAAGGAGUCUGCUUUUGUUCCCUUGAUCUUUAUAGCUUUACCUGUACCUUUUCAGCACGAAGGUACAUUAGAGUCUAAUAAUUAUGGGUUGCAUUAUUGUUGAUUGUUCUUUGAGGGUUGGGAACGGCCCGCUGAACUUGACGGCACAAACCGUUUCGAUUUAGAAAUACAUUAGCCCGAUGAGUUUGCCUCUCUCAUGCCUGAUAAAUUAGGACCUCUAAUCUGUAAGAGGAUUAACCACCUACUCUGUUUAUACGUAGACACACACACACACACACACACACACACACACAUACACACAUGCACAUAACCAGGCAUUAGGUGUGCAAAGCAUCGUCACCGAUUCGAAUGUGAUUCAAUACGGUGACAAUGCAUGUGAUUAAUUAGGAUUUACUGGUAAAGACUGGGCGGCACGGUGGCCAACUGGUUAGAGCGUCAGCCUCACAGUUCUGAGGACCUGGGUUCAAUCCCCGGUCCCGCCUGUGUGGAGUUUACAUGUUCUCCCCGUGCCUGCGUGGGUUUUCUCCGGGCACUCCGGUUUCCUCCCACAUCCCAAAAACAUGCAUUAAUUGAAGACUCUAAAUUGCCCAUAGGUGUGAAUGUGCGUGCGACUGGUCGUUAGUUUGUAUGUGCCCUGCGAUUGGCUGGCAGCCAGUUCAGGGUGUACCCCGCCUCCUGCCCGAUGACAGCUGGGAUAGGCUCCAGCACGCCCGCGACCCUAGUGAGGAGAAGCGGCUCAGAAAAUGGAUGGAUGGAUGGAUGGAAGGUAAAGACUGUCCAUCCCAAAUGCAGUGCGCCACAGGGAGGAGUGGACUCAAAACAGAAGAAAGGAAGCGGUGUUGUGGCCUUAAAAGUAAAAAAAAAAACAACAACAACAACAAAAUGACAGAAACACUAAACAGCGUGACAACAGUUGUUUUAGAAGAUAAAGCACAACGGAGUGAGGAUUAGUCCCA